AUAUUUUCUGGGCCUGGCUGUUCAAGCUGCUGUUUGUGGGGGGCUCAGUAUAUGAUUAGAGUGGACAUUUCCUCUCUUGGAGAACUUUGAUGGAGUCCUCAGAGGUCGUCUAACUCUGGACCCUCUUCUCCUAUAGUCGCAUUGGUGUGCCCCAUGGAAUGAUUGAGACUGGCCGGGAGACAUCAAGAGGUAUUAAUGUGUAUUUUGCAAGGAAGGUGCAGGAGCUGGGGCCUUACCUGCAGUUGCUGAUGGAUUUCUUAGUGAGAAAAAUGGUGACUACACAGCAAGAACAGCAGCAAAAGGAAAGGCACCAAGUGUAAAGGAAGAAUAUUUGAAGCAGAACAGAAAUAAUUUCUGAGCAAGAAGGGCUAUGUGAUGAUGCUUCAUUCAGCUGGUGAUCCAUUACACCUGUUAAGAGGCCAAAGAGAACUGUAGAUCUCUGAGGUCCAUGGGGGCAGGGGCAAGGGAAUAAGAUGAAGGGAACACUAGAAUAAAUGAAGUGCCUUAACAGCUGAAAAGGCUGAUGGAUGUGCUUUGCACCUCAGAAGACGGAACUCCCAGCAGGAGAAUAAAGAGUGCAACAGAGCAGAGCCUGCUAGAACCACACAGUUAGGGAACUGAUCCUCUAAUAACCUCUCCUUUCAGAACUUUAUAAUGUGCUAUAAAAACCCCUUGUCUGUGGACUA
rnacentral:lncRNA from 1 species